rnacentral:hammerhead_ribozyme from 1 species
AUCCAGUUGACGAAUCCCAAAUAGGACGAAAGGCAUCUGUUGGAU